UGAAAUGAAGACGUUGAUUUCUCGUAGCGCUUCACUGUUCUAGCUCGAACGUGCUGUUCGUUUAUCAAGUCAUUCAAAUGUUAUUCCUAUGUUCCAAUGUUUUAUUGCGGUUGGUGAUGAAAGAUUUUAUUUAACAUUCAUUUUUGCAUGGUCAACUUUCAGUGAUGGAUCAUCCGCGAUGUGAUAUCUGCUGUGUCUGCUGACCGCAGAUGAGAACCAACGAAUCAGUUCCUCGGCGAUUUCAUUCUUCAUUCGGAAAAUCAGGAGAUGAAGAAUACCGGAAGAAGCACCUCCCCAUUGCGCCAUCACGACAGUUUCACCAGUCAUCGACAAUUCUACAUGUGUACUUCUGUCUGCUGCUGCUUCUUUCGUUCGGAUCCGCUGUGACAGAAGACCCUUACUACAUCCCUCGUGAACCAACACACCCGUCACUAGCCGUCGCCAGCCGUCCUUGUCGAAAGAUGGCAGUCGAGGAUUCAACAGCCGUCGCUUUCUUGUCAUCGCAUCAAUUCCGCUUGAAUUUCCUUCCUCUCCCGCCACGACCAGCACAAACCAAGUAUUGGCCAGUCUGACGACAUCAUCCGGGAAGUCUCUUUUAACUGUGGAUUUGAUAAGGAAUCCGUAAGCGAUGGGCCGCUGUCUGGAUGGUGAAAUAUUGAAGGUUGAACCCUUCCAUCUCUUUUUCAGCCAUUCGAGACCGUCUUCCUUGGUACAAAUGGGUACAUGGAACUGGCAAAUCGACACCCUUCUUCUCACCACCCCGUGGCUUCAAGUUUCCCCACAGCCGUCAGACUGCAACUUGCGUCACUUUCAACCACAUCUAUCGGUGAGUCCAAUGAUCAAACUGAUUCUUAUUGUUCCAUUCGCCGAGUAGUACCACGUCGCACUUGGUUAUCUGCUAUCAAAAAUCAAGAAAAACGCGUCCAUA